UCGGUGGAAGAUCAUUCGGUGACACUGUUUUCAUCCCUAAGCAUAGAAGAGUUUGUUCAAGGGGUCGAUCAGCUGCAUUCGAGUUAUGGAAAAGAGUCAUUGCCUGCUUGCAGUUCUGCUUAUUUGCUCUCUUUUGAGUCUCCUGGAUUCCCAGAAACAGUCUCAUCCGAAGAUGGCUUCCCACUUCAUGUCCUCCCUGACCUCCCGCGUUCGACAGACGGAAUCGCCGGGAGUCCGGGAGCUGCGGACGAGUUGCCAGAGGGAACCCGGAUGCGGCUGGAAGUGCGGAGUAGGCAGCGGCGAUUGCCAAUGCUUGUGCGGGUCGGCAGCAAGGCGAGACAGCUAGGCCCCAAUAGACAGAGUGCUGAUAUUGGGCUAUUAGGGAGGCAUUGUAUAUUAAAUGUAAAUAGUUGUCUUUGUAAAUAGUGAAUAAAGUUUGGAUUUUAAUGUG